rnacentral:rRNA from 1 species
AUAUUGGAUAAUGGGGGCAACCCUGAUCCAGCCAUGCCGCUUGUGUGGAGUUGUUCUUCGUAUUGUAAAGCACUUUAAGUUGGGAGGAAGUGCUUACGGCUAAUACGCUGAAGUAUUGACGUUACCAACAGAAUAUGCACUGUCUAACUAUGUGCCAUCAGCCGCGGUAAUACAGAGGAUGCAAGCGUUAAUCGGAAUUACUGGGCGUAAAGGGGGCGUAGGUGGUUCAGUAAGAUGGGUGUGAAAUCCCCGGGCUUAACCUGGGAACUGCUUUCAUAACUGCUGAGCUAGAGUACGGUAGAGGAUAGUGGAAUUUCCUGUGUAGCGGUGAAAUGCGUAGAUAUAGGAAGAAACACCAGUGGCAAAGGCGACUACCUGGACUGAUACUGACACUGAGGUGCGAAAGCGUGGGGAGCAAAC